GCCAGCAUGGCUCAGUGGUUGAGCAUCAACCUAUGACGCAGGAGGUCAUGGUUCAAUUCCAGGUUGUGGGCU
rfam:Myotis davidii contig54055, whole genome shotgun sequence.